AGACGGGGUUUCACCAUGUUAACCAGGAUGGUCUCCAUCUCCUGACCUCGUGAUCCUCCCGCUUCGGCCUCCCAAAGUGCUGGGAUUACAGUUGACUCUCAGGGAAGCCAGAUGCCACACCGUGAGCAGCUCUGCAGAGAGAUCCAUGCAGCAAGGAACCGAGGCCUCCAGCCAGGAGCUGCGUGACUGAGUGAACUUGUUACCAAAACACCAGGGGUUUGGUCCAGGUCCUACUGCUCACCACAUGGAAAGCUCAUCACUGAGAUGACAAGUAUUGCCAAGGAAGGAUUUAAUCAGGUGCUGCACCCAAGGAAAUGGGAGCUCAGUCUCAAAUCCAUCCUGCUGACCUACUAAAACCAGGGAUUUGUAUAGCAGGGAAGAAAUGCAACAAUGUGUAAGAAAACAGGAACUAGGGAGGGGCACGGAAACAAUCAUGAUGAAUGAAGGGGCAGCAUCUCAUUGUCUGAAUGUGGUGAUCUGGCCCUUCUGGACCCACAGAGUCUGCGUUCCCCAAAGUGAAAGCUGCCUGGCCUCUGGGGGUUCACUGGGUCCAGCACCUACAGCUGAAAGCGAAGUCAGCCAGUGCCCCGUCCUGGAAGCCGCUGGAUUAACUGCACAGAGUGAUCAAGGUAACUCAGCCACACAGAACUUCCCUGACACAAGCUCCUUCAUGACUCUGUAUGUUGACAUACGCGGCUCCCUUUUCUGGGACACUCUUCCCGUCCGGUUCUUCUCACUAGAGCUGCAUCUGUGCUUUGUCACCCAGUUAUCAAUCAGGCCUCAUUCCCCCGUACAAUGCGGCCUAUCUCCCUAUAGAACAUCGGCACUGAAUUUGUUCUUUACAAGUGCAUAUCCCUGCGGAUGGAGCUCCAUGAGCAGUUGUUCAGAUGUUCUUAUAAGCAGUGCUGCAGUCAACAUUCUUCGACAGUCUCCCUGGACUGGCUCCCAGGACUCCAGUGUUGGAGUCUGACUACACAAAGGAGUGGAGGAACUGGAGACCUGCCCACCCCCUUCAUGUUCCAACGUGAUGCCAGGGGACCUGGCUCUGGGAUCUGCUGUGCAUCUCACCACUGUAUGAGGGUGCCCAUUUCUCCAUGAGGGGUCAGCUUUUCGUACUGCCCACUUUUAAUGUUUGCCAAGUUCGUGGAUGUAAAGUGGUAUCACACUGUGAUUUCCAUGCACGUUUUUCUGAAUUAAAGGGUGGCCGAGCAUCUUCUCCUAUUUUCUUGGCAAUUCAGACUCCAUUACUAAAAAUCCCGUUUUUCUGAAGCCUUGCAAUUUCUUUCAGUGAGUGCUAUAAUAACAGCAUUAACUUAGCCACCAAGGAUGUAAUAUGGCAGCUGCUCAAGAAACUGUGGCUCAGUUGAGUGUGUACAGAUGAGGGCAGGAAAAAGGGAUAAUAGGAACCAAGGGCAUAUAAUCAUGUGUGGGAAGUGAGGUCCAGGAGAGAGUGAAGGCAGACGUUAGGCAGGAGAGCAGGUGACAGUGGAGGUCAGGAGGCAGAUGGUGAGGUCAGGAGUGAGGAUGGUGGGAGGUCAGGAGAGAGUGAAGGCUGGAGGGGUCAGGAACGGUGAUGGUGGAGGUUAGAGUG
ensembl:lncRNA